UGCCAUCAGCUCACUAAAAUCUGGUUCUUCCUCUUAUUCCCGGACGUGUGGUUAGACCACCUUCCUAGCCUGCCUAGAAAUGGGGUAUGGCCAUGAGAGUUCCAGCCAGAGCAAUGUGAACAGAAGUGACAUUCAAUUCUACCCCCCUAAAAACCAGUGAUAUGCACUCUUCUUUGUUUUCCCCAUCCAGCUAGUUAGAAUGGAAAUGGCCCCAAGAGUAACUUUGAAAGAGCGCCGCAUGUUGAAGAUGAGGACAACCUAUAUCUCUGAAUGGUUGUGUGUAGAAAAACUUCACCAACCUGGUCACUACCUCAGUGCUGCUAUUUCCAGUGGUCAGAAGUCUGAAAUCAACAUGUCAGCAGAGUUUGGUCUUUCUUGGACACUCUAGAGGAGAAUUCACACUAUGCCCCUCUCCUAGUUGCAGGCGGCCAUCAGCAAUCUUUGGCAAUCCUUGGUUUAUAAACACAUCACUCCAAUCUCUGCCUCCAUCUUCUCUUCUUUGGGUUUCUGUGUCUUUUUCCCCUUGUCUUCUCUUCUAAGCACUUGUCAUUGGAUUUAGGGCCCAUCCUAAUCCAGAAUGAUCUCAUCUCAAGAUCCUCAACUUAAUCACAUCCGCAGAUUUGUUUUUCCAAAUUAGUUCAAAUUUACAGACUCCACGUGGGCAUACCUUUGGGGAGGAGUCACUCUUCAACUCACUACAAGGAGCAGGGAUUAGGGGUGUGGGGGAGCAAGUAAGUUAAAAGGAUUUGCAAGGAAGAUAUAGGGCUGGAUCAUGGAAUCCAAGCUGGAAGAGUAGGGAGAAGAAGACAUGGGAAGGUCAUGGAGAAGAAAGAGUAGUGAUAUCCCACUGGAGAGUGGUUGAGCAGGAGAACCAGAGCAAGGGGCUGAAAGGAGAGAUGACAUCACAAUGGCUGACGGAGCUUACUUACGGAUGACGACAGUCUAGGCAUGGGCACCUGAGUCAGUAACUGAAAGGACAUCUAGAAAACUCCACUGGAGGAGAAGAGGGCAUGAACUCAGAGAGUGUUGGCAGGGUCACCAGCACAGGUGAUGAAGCCCUCAGAAAGAAGACCACAAUGGGGAAGAUGGAAUGGCAAGUCCAGUGCCUAAAGCAUCAAUAAGCAAGGGAACAGGACAAAGGCAUGAAGACAGCAACUGGGAGGACUGAGCAAGUGACAGUGACAGCUAAAUCAGAAUAGAUGAGUGUAAGGGCAUUGCCAGCUGCAAUAUAAGGAUACAAAAAUAAAGAGUAAAAGAGGAGUCCUACAACACUCAGGAGUUAGAGGGAGAAGAAGGACAGAGGGAGUGGAGAGGUAACCUAACAGCUUCAUUCUCAUGUGGGGUAUGUGGCUGGAACUGAAUUGAAUAAAAACUAUACUAAAAGUC